UUUUUUUUUUUUGGUGGGAGGGCUUUACUGUACUCAUUUUGUUAAUGCUAUGAUUUUAAUUAUUUAAAAAAUGCAGAAAACAUUGGGUAUAAAAGACUUAACUUAUUCCACUCAUAUGAUCAACAUUGAUGUCUUAAUGCUAACAUGAACAAGAUACAAGUCCAGACGCAAGAUCCGGGCUUCAAACUUCGGUGCAAAAGGAGCAAAGUACUGGAACAAUCCAUAACCGUGGGAAAAUGUGUUGAUUGAAAGGUACAGAAUUAAGCUAACAUAAAAGACAUGGCUAUGUUUGAGGGUACAUUAAACUCUUGAUGAUUGUGGAAUUCAUGCAGACUUUCAAGAGAACGCUAUAUUGCAGGAAAAAUUCUUCAUGGCAAAUUCUCUUUCACCUAUACUGAAAUUCUUUGUUAAAAUAUCAACAUGGAAACAAAUUAUGGCAGGGCAAUGCAGUAGGAAAGUAAUCCUGCUAUAAUUUGUUUACAUGUUGACAUUCUAAAAAAACGAAUUUCAGCAAUUUAAAAUUCAUGGUUUACAUGAACUUUUGUUUUCUCAAUUUUAAUUUACCAAUGGAGAAAACAGAAUUUGAAAUUCAAAGUUUUGCCUGUGAUAGAGCGCUUUUUAACAAAAGACGAGACAUUAUUGAACAAGUAUGAGGUAUGAGGAACCACUAAACAUGAAACAGCUGAAUGUUUUUAUCUCAGGACCAUUUCUUUUUCUGAUUGUGAACCUUUGUCUUUCCACAUAGAACUGUGAAUGCUCACAUGUAUAGAAAUGGCAUCCUUGGUUUUUAUGUGCCUCCUUAUGCUGCUGCAAUAUCAUGACAAUUUUGUGCAACAGGAUGGUAACGCAAUGUUGUAAAGGGCUCACACUGUGGAUGAUUAUCUUCAGCAGCAAACAAUACAACAGAUGGAGGGACCAACACCGAACUUGAAUCCUAUCGAACAUGUUUGGGAUGCGCCUCAAAGCUUUGCACCUGCUUUUCAAGAACAAAGGCUCAUACUGCCAUUGGUCCUGGUAGACCACAUCACAUAUCACUGUAUUGCUGCUAGAGGUGAUCAUGCACCAUACUGAAGCAAAAGUUAUGUUGUCAUAGGCGCUUGUUCUUAUUUUCUUGUCCAGAAGUGCCAUCUAUGGGGAAGAAUUCGGCUUAUGCCACACCCGUUUAUGGAGUGGACUCAUUCAUAAAUCCAUCCAUAGAUCGUAAUUUACACCUGAACCAGAGAUCGAUUGAUCUCCAAUCCAAUACCCCCAGAGGAAUAAUUUGUAAAGGGAACAUGGAGGACUUUGUGACCCGACAGUUUUAACAUGCAUCAGCCACCAUUUACUACAUGGGGAGACUUCCGCCGGCUGGAUUCAAACUUCUAGUAUCACGAAUUUGGGUCCAGUGUCUUGCCAACCAAGCUCUCCCGGCCCAGCAAAAGUAAAAAUUUAUGGAAAUAGAUAAAAAUGUAUCAUGUAAAAACUGCUCAAAACAAAUAUAAUUCUAUGGAAAGUUAUUACAA